rnacentral:rRNA from 1 species
GUAUGGCUGUUCGCCAUUUAAAGUGGUACGCGAGCUGGGUUUAGAACGUCGUGAGACAGUUCGGUCCCUAUCUGCCGUGGGCGCUGGAGAACUGAGGGGGGCUGCUCCUAGUACGAGAGGACCGGAGUGGACGCAUCACUGGUGUUCGGGUUGUCAUGCCAAUGGCACUGCCCGGUAGCUAAAUGCGGAAGAGAUAAGUGCUGAAAGCAUCUAAGCACGAAACUUGCCCCGAGAUGAGUUCUCCCUGAGACUUAGAGUCUCCUGAAGGAACGUUGAAGACGACGACGUUGAUAGGCCGGGUGUGUAAGCGCAGCGAUGCGUUGAGCUAACCGGUACUAAUGAACCGUGAGGCUUAACCUUACAACGCCGAAGCUGUU